rnacentral:lncRNA from 1 species
AGGGUCUAGAAUCCUGAUGGUGGCAUUUGUGCUGAAAGUAGAAUUUGGAGGCUUGUGUGGUCUCAGUGGCAUUUAAAGAUAAGGAUUUGACAAGGUCACCCUGGGGAGGGGGCGGAAAGUGUGGAGAACUGAGAGACUGUAUGAGCAGAGAGAGUGGAAGAAAUCAGACAGAAUAUUCCAAAGCAGAGAGCUGAACUAGGGAAGGAGUAGUCAAUGGCAUGAAAUGACUCAUUGAGUCCUACAGCCCAGAGGUGUUUAACUGUUGACCUUGGAGAGGGCCGGUUCAUGGGCAGUGGAGACGGAGAUUAGAGUGUGGGGUUAUGGUGGCAAAGAGAUUGGCGUGACUCAGCAAGAUAGGGAAUGCAUGAUGCUUAAAAUAAUGACUGUGCUCCUGGAGAGUCAGAGGUCACCCAGGUUCAGGAUUAAAAAAGGCCCAUCUUCCAGGUAUGUUACUUUUACUUGACAAGAGAAAAAAUGUUCAUACACAAUGUGAUGAGGUGUUGGUUAACCGUGGUCCACAUAUACAACAGUGAUCCCAUGAAGAUCAUAUAUCCUAGUGAGGUCAUAGCAGUCUUAGUUUAUAUAAGUACACUCUAUGAGGUUCACAAAAGAACAAAAUCACCUAACAACAGAUUUCUCAGAACAUAUCCCUGCCCUUAAGUGAUGCAUGAUUGUAUAUUAGUCCACCUGUCUAUCCCUAUUUCAAAGAUCCAGAUAAAGUCUGGAAAGCUCAUUUCAUUCGUGGCAGCCCAAAAUCUUCUGCAAGGUUACUGAAAAUUCUGGGUGGAUUUGGGGGCUUACCUGCUUAUGGCUGGCUUUGGCUCCAUACCAAGAGUGCAUCUUGCAAACCUAUGAUUAAUGUCCCUAUUUCAAGCCACAUUGACCCCAUUAUCACCCUUUCGUGAUCCCUACCGAUUCAAUAUUACAUGAAAAUGUGGGAAAAGAAAGUGGGAUUAACAUUAGAGCAACACAAAGAGCUACAAUUUGAACAUGGGAGAUAUCUGUUAGUUAUUAAAAAAUCCCCUGGCUAACUCACUACCAGAGAUGUUUUCCAAGUUUUAUCCCACAUAAUAGUCUGUGUUUCCUGGCCAGCUUAUCACUUUCUUCCUCUUCCUCUUCUCUUUUCAUGGUUGGGCCUCAGCACCACCCUUCUAGAUUACCCUUGGGAGUUCCAGUUCUUUUCCCUCUGUCAUGCCCAGCAAACUCUUGCCAUCCUUUCCCUAAGGGCAGGUCUCCCUCUACCUUUGCAAACUCAAACAGGUCAAUGUAGUCAGUAGAUUGAAAGGGCUUUUUAUUUAACAAGAGCCACCUUACAGUUAUAAUUUGUGAAUAGAAUUUUCUUCUCUCUGAAAAAUGGUAUACACUAUCCUUAAUUACUGUGAAACCCCUUGUUGAACAACUCACUAUCUGUUACCUG